rnacentral:rRNA from 1 species
UUUUUAAAUUUCUGGGCCAGCAGCCGCGGUAANUCCAGCUCCAAUAGCGUAUAUUAAAGUUGUUGCAGUUAAAAAGCUCGUAGUUGAACCUUGGGUCUGGCUGGCCGGUCCGCCUCACCGCGAGUACGGUCCGGCUGGACCUUUCCUUCUGGGGAAUCCCAUGGCCUUCACUGGCUGUGGGGGGAACCAGGACUUUUACUGUGAAAAAAUUAGAGUGUUCAAAGCAGGCCUUUGCUCGAAUACAUUAGCAUGGAUAAUAGAAUAGGACGUGCGGUUCUAUUUUGUUGGUUUCUAGGACCGCCGUAAUGAUUAAUAGGGAUAGUCGGGGGCGUCAGUAUUCAGCUGUCAGAGGUGAAAUUCUUGGAUUUGCUGAAGACUAACACUGCGAAAGCAUUCGCCAAGGAUGUUUUCAUUAAUCAGGGAACGAAAGUUNGGGGAUCGANGACGAUCAGAUACCGUCGUAGUCUUAACCAUAAACUAUGCCGACUAGGGAUCGGGCGGUGNUUCNUGAUGACCCGCUCGGCACCUUACCGAGAAAUCAAAGUUUNUGGGNUACUNGGGGGAGUAUGNUCGCAAGGCUGNNNCUUAAAGGAAUUGGACGGAAGNGCACCACAAGGCGUGGAGCCUGCGGCUUAUUUGACUCAACACGGGGAAACUCACCAGGUCCAGACAAAAUAAGGAUUGACAGAUUGAGAGCUCUUUCUUGAUCUUUUGGAUGGUGGUGCAUGGCCGUUCUUAGUUGGUGGAGUGAUUUGUCUGCUUAUUGCGAUAACGAACGAGACCUCGGCCCUUAAAUAGCCCGGUCCGCAUUGCGGGCCGCUGGCUUCUUACGGGGACUAUCGCUCAUACCCGGCCCCG